GAUGAACGCUGGCGGCGUGCUUAACACAUGCAAGUCGAACGGUGAAGCGGAGCUUGCUCUGUGGAUCAGUGGCGAACGGGUGAGUAACACGUGAGCAACCUGCCCCCGACUCUGGGAUAAGCGCUGGAAACGGCGUCUAAUACUGGAUAUGAGCUGCGACCGCAUGGUCAGCAGUUGGAAAGAUUUUUCGGUCUGGGAUGGGCUCACGGCCUAUCAGCUUGUUGGUGAGGUAAUGGCUCACCAAGGCGUCGACGGGUAGCCGGCCUGAGAGGGUGACCGGCCACACUGGGACUGAGACACGGCCCAGACUCCUACGGGAGGCAGCAGUGGGGAAUAUUGCACAAUGGGCGAAAGCCUGAUGCAGCAACGCCGCGUGAGGGAUGACGGCCUUCGGGUUGUAAACCUCUUUUAGCAGGGAAGAAGCGAAAGUGACGGUACCUGCAGAAAAAGCGCCGGCUAACUACGUG
rnacentral:rRNA from 1 species